rnacentral:lncRNA from 1 species
UGAAAGUUGACAGACAACUAUUGCACUAAACUUUGCUGCUACUAGUAUGUGACUUUCAAAUGAGCUUAUGUAAAAACAUUGCUUGCGCAUGUCCAACUAGAAAGGACACGGCAGAUACAACUAUGUGAGCUAGCCUGAUAGGUAGUUCAAGCAACUUGAUUCAGUGAACUGGGAAUGAUCUAAGACGGACAAUAAGAAUGGAAAGCAAACAUUGAACCCCACGUUGAUCUGAAACUUUGGGAUUCAAGCAAGAAGUCGCAAACGUGCAACCAAAAUGCUCCUGUCAACAUUAUUAUUCAAGGUAACAUGCCAUCAGCAUCAGGAACACUGCUCAAUGAUUUGUAUGUGGCAUAGACAUGAUCCAGUUAUCAUGAUACAAUGACCAUCUUGUAAAAUGAAAGGCAUGUGCUGCUCAUUACAAUUAUUUUAAGCUGAGUGUUUCUUUCUUCUCUUUUAUUUAUGCAAGCGGAGAUGUAGCAGGCAGGGAGGCAGGGAGCCAUCACAUAUGCAUGUAUGUAUGAAGCAGAACAUGAAAAGAGCAACAUAUAAUUAACUUGAUUGACAUGACAUGGCAGGGUGUUUUUGUAGCCGAUGCCAAACAGCACCAUCGCCACCACCGUUGCAUGGAAGCAUCAAAAAAGAGGAGCCUGGCACGAUGAACCCCUUGUACAGAAUCAAAUCCUGCUGCACAAGGACAAGAGAAAUAAGAAGAUAAUACGAAAGCUGUUAAACAAAAUCAUAGGAUGCCAUCACGUAGUCCAGACAAAUUGAACACACACACACACACACACACACACACACACACACACACACACACACACACACACAUAUAUAUAUAUAUAUGUAUGCAUGCAUGCUUCUCAAAGUUUAAUUCCAUAGAAUUAAAGUGCUUCCGAUAGUAACCAAAUUAUUUUAAUACUCAGCCAUCCAGUACCACAUAGGAAGCAAAUCCUAAAAUAAAAAUGCACUUCUGAACAGAGCGACACACUACAAGAACUUACCAACAGGUUUGAACAAUGGAUGACAUACAGUACAAGAAAAAGAGCAGGAGAAUGGAUUCUGAUAGACUACACAAGAUGAUUGCAAUGACUAGGCUACAAGUUAAUACAAUUAACACAAGUUAAUGCAAGCCUGAUGUACUACUCAGGCUAAGAAGAAGCAGGUACAGUAGUAGUUUUAGCACACUAGUACAUGUGUUAAAAUGGAAGCAUCGCUGCUGGGUUAUAUUAAUAAAUAAUCCAAGUGUUGCAAUAGCCAACAAAAUAAAAAAUCUAUACACAUGCAUAGACCACAACACAUUUACCGACAUUGAUGGACUGGACAAACCUAACACAUACUUAUCAUACUAAUACAAUACAAGAUAAUGCAUUAGAGUGUCUGGAUUUGCAUGAACAAGAUGACCAGUUUCACAUCGGAUUUGCUUGAACAUGUAAAGUAUGUAUUAGUGUAAAGCCUAUCAAGUAUUCGAAUUGUGCUGCAGUUUAGUUGAGUUGCAAGUAGAACUACAGUGAAGAUGCUAUUCUAACUUCUGUGACUGAAGAAAAAUACACACCGUAUGUACAUCAUUUGUGCUAAACAUUAGCACACAAUGUUGAUGCUACUAUGCAACCACAAAUUAAAUCACUGGACACCGAGGCCGGAAAGGAGCCAUAGUGGACCAAGCAGCCAAACUGGGACAGGUUGGAUGAUUUUACCCUUGAGUAAUCUAAGCAGCACCUCGGACAGGGGGAUGAACCGACAUCCUCCCCCUCUGCACACUAUCCUCUCUUCACUAUCACACCCGAACCAUCGUCUUCCUCGACACCUGCAGCACCUCGGCUUACCAUGGUGAUAGCCUGCACAAACCCCCUUCACGAAUCAGAUCAUAUCUAAUCAAGAAGAAGCAUAGGAG